AGGUGAACCUGCGGAAGGAUCAUUAAAGAGAUAGGGUCUUCAUGGCCCGACCUCCAACCCUCUGUUGUUAAAACUACCUUGUUGCUUUGGCGGGACCGUCUCGGUCUCCGAGCGCACUAACCCUCGGGUUGGUGAGCGCCCGCCAGAGUCCAACCAAACUCUUGUAUUAAACCAGUCGUCUGAGUAUAAAAUUUUAAUUAAAUUAAAACUUUCAACAACGGAUCUCUUGGUUCUCGCAUCGAUGAAGAACGCAGCGAAAUGCGAUAAGUAAUGUGAAUUGCAGAAUUCAGUGAAUCAUCGAAUCUUUGAACGCACAUUGCGCCCCUUGGUAUUCCGAGGGGCAUGCCUGUUCGAGCGUCAUUACACCACUCAAGCAUCGCUUGGUAUUGGGAACGGUCCGUCGCAAGGCGGGCCUUCCUCGAAGACCUCGGCGGGGUUCAACCAACUUCGGGCGUAGUAGAGUUAAAUCGAACGUCUUAUAAGCUUGGUCGGAUCUCAUUGCCGUUAAACCUUUAAAUUUUCUAGGUUGACCUCGGAUCAGGUAGGGAUACCCGCUGAACUUAA
rnacentral:rRNA from 1 species